CCUACGGGUGGCAGCAGUGAGGAAUAUUGGUCAAUGGACGAGAGUCUGAACCAGCCAAGUAGCGUGAAGGAAGACUGCCCAAUGGGUUGUAAACUUCUUUUAUAUGGGAAUAAAAUGUUCCACGUGUGGGAUUUUGUAUGUACCAUAUGAAUAAGGAUCGGCUAACGCCGUGCCAGCAGCCGCGGUAAUACGGAGGAUCCGAGCGUUAUCCAGAUUUAUUGGGUUUAAAGGGAGCGUAGGUGGAUUGUUAAGUCAGUUGUGAAAUUUUUCGGCUCAACCGUAAAAUUGCAGUUGAAACUGGCUGUCUUGAGUACAGUAGAGGUGGGCGGAAUUCGGGGUGUAGCGGUGAAAUGCUUAGAUAUCACGAAGAACUCCGAUUGCGAAGGCAGCUCACUGGACUGCAACUGACACUGAGGCUCGAAAGUGUGGGUAUCAAACAGGAUUAGAUACCCGUGUAGUC
rnacentral:rRNA from 1 species